CCGGAACGAAACUAAACAAAGUAUGAUUGUGGUGACAUCCGCGAAAACGAAAUUUAAUUGUGAGGAACGAAAACGAUUGGAUUGUGACCAAAAUAAUUACGAAUGCGCACUGAGAGAAACCGACCAUCCAUUGGAGAUCUUACAAAGAUGGGGAUCCGGUCGCCUUGUCCUACGCUACACGGUCUUAAGCGCUAACGAAAGCAAUAAAGACAUCCCAGGGUCCAUAACUACUACGUAAAGUUUUCCAGAGAGCAGACCUGUGGAAAUUAGAAACGACUUGCUGCGACUGCAACAAUUAAAAGGUGCCACUGUCGCAUUUACUUACAUUUGAUUGCGAAAGAAAGUGAACUAAAACUUAUCUAUUUGUGUACGUCAUAUCAACGUUUAUUAGAGUUUUUAUUUCAAGAUUUAAUAAUGAAUGUAUUUAAAUUUUAA